UACGUAGGGUGCGAGCGUUAAUCGGAAUUACUGGGCGUAAAGCGUGCGCAGGCGGUAAUGCAAGACAGAUGUGAAAUCCCCGGGCUUAACCUGGGAACUGCAUUUGUGACUGCAUUGCUGGAGUGCGGCAGAGGGGGAUGGAAUUCCGGCGUGUAGCAGUGAAAUGCGUAGAGAUGUGGAGGAACACCGAUGGCGAAGGCAGCCCCCCUGGGCUAACACUGACGCUCAGGCACGAAAGCGUGGGGAGCAAACAGG
rnacentral:rRNA from 1 species